CGAUUACGUUCGUUCGGCGACUUUUAGCCGCGGCCGUGAUAUUUUCGAACACCCGUCCGGCUCUCGAGGCGUUUGAUUCGAUUCGCAUAUGAUGUUUUGAUAAUUAUAAAUUAUAAAUAGGGAUAAUAGAAACGCGCCACCACGUCCGCGCGAAUUAGUCGAGCGUUCAAAACGAAACGAUACAUUUACCGCACGGCAUUGAACGCGAUUCGGACAUUAUAGCGGUAGAUUUAGGGCACGGAACUUAUCGCGUUUAACAUCCACGAAAAAAGAGCUUGAAAACGCGAAAAAACGCAUGAAAAAUAUUAAAAAACAAAACAAAAACGGUAAAUGUAGCCAGAGUUUAAAUGUUCCCUACAGCUCUCUAACGGCUUUGACUUGUUAAACACAAUUUUCGAACGCUACGAAAAUUACUAACCCAAAGUUAUAUUUUUUUUUUAUAACACACGUACAAUUUUAUUUAAACAAAAUAACUUUUUGCUAAUCAUUUGUGUCGUGUUAGAAAAUUAUAUUUAAUAAUUUAGAGUCAUCGUUAUAGACUGGGGACCUAACCGUUUGGUCUAAUAAUAUUCGUCUGACGUGUCUUUUUUCGAGGCUUUUUUUUUUUUUUUUUUGAAGGUUUUAAGUGCUUUUUAGUGCAAUAAAUCCCGAACACUUGUAAUUAUUAGCGUAACGGGUAACCCGCAGCAUAAAACCAGUGUAUAGGUAAUGUAUUUACUAUUAAAAAUCGUUGUCCGCGCGUUGGGCGUGUUUUACACUAAACGGAUAGUAAAAUAAUCGUUUGUUUUAAUUCGAGAAUAAAUUUAACUUUAACUUAAAAAAAAAUAAUCAUCACGUUGGGUUCCAUUUCCGUGUGGCCACCCUCCUCGUAUUAUUCUGUAAUAAAUAAAAUUCAGUUGUAUCUGUCAUCGUGAUUUCCUAUUAUGCAUGGAUUGUUCGUUUUUCUGAUAAGGAAAAAACUCAAAGUGAAUAAAUAAACAAUUUAAACGUUAUAAAAAUAUUUUUGUUUUUUGUGUAAUCCAAAAUAACCGCAUGACAAAUUAGUUUUUAACCAACAUUUUGGCGUUGCAAGUGUUCAUUAACGACGGGUUAAUAACGACGGCGAGUGACAUUUCAACAGUUUUCCGAAGUUCACAAUAAUCAAUCGCAAAAUUAUUUUUAAAAGAAAAAUCACUGGCGAAUCGAUCGAUAUAAUCAUCAUUUAACAGCGGAAACGAGUACAAUUUAAAUUUCCGUAAACUCGUAAAUGAACGACCCGUUCGUCAGCACCGCACGUUUGUUUAACAAUCACGAGGCUCCGAUAAAAAUAUAUACAAAAAAAAAAAAAAACACCCAAACUUAAAAACACCGAACAGAACAAAAGUUAACGCCAUUAGUCAGACGUCCGUCCAAUACGCUCUGUACUACGCUUUAUCGUACGCACGCAAUCGUGCAUCGUUACAGUUUUUGCGGUUUUUUUUUUUUUUUUGUUCAACGUUGUGUUAUUUUUUGUAAAUCUCAGCACCUCGUCCGUGAUUUAAAACAGUUGUACUCGUAGCAGUGUUGCGACGCGUAAAAACGAAACCAACAUCGAUGUUAUUACGCUAAACAUAGCGCGCGGGCGAUACAUUUAUAUUAAUAAUAAUAAUUCUCUUUGAGAGCGUUAAUUCUACCGAUUUCUUUUAUUAUACAAGACAGGUGCGCGUGUACGUACCUAUAUCUGUAUGUUGUAUACAGUCGUACACUUUAUACAUGCGCGAUAUAAUAUUAAUACGUACGCAUUUUCGACACACCCAGAAACUGCUAUAGUAGGUUUUUGUUUUUUUUUUUUUUUUUUUUUUUUUUUUUUAUAUAUAUAUAUAUAUAUAUACACACGUUCCGACACGUUUUUGUUUACCAAUUACGAUUAUGUAUUGUGUAUAAUAUUAUUUUUCACGGAUAACGGCUUAACGCGCACAUGCGCGCGGCACAUUCGUCAAAAAUACGCACCUAUUAUACAAACCAAUAUAACGAUACAUUCGUGCUGUUGACAUUAUUGUACGUACGGAAUAAUAUGCGUAAACAGUUUGUAUUCGUGACGGUGUGUCCCUGUACAGACCCGUAUGUGAACCUGCAGCUUUAUGGUGUCGCUUGAUAAAAAAAAAAAAAUAAAAAUAUGAUAGAUUAUUUGCGAAUUAUAAACAAAAGGAUCCGCCCAUUCG